rnacentral:guide_RNA from 1 species
ACAAACAACACAAGAUAGAGCACAAAUGAAUGCACAGUGAUAAU